rnacentral:lncRNA from 10 species
CUGGAAUUGAAAUUUUUACAAUAAACUUAAAGUCGGAAGGAGCUUAAAGUAUAUACAACUCAAAUUCUUUAUUUUAAAAAUAAAGACAUAAACACAUUUAUGUAUUCUUUCAACUAACACAGCUGAGCAUCUACUACGUAUUUGGAAUUGUUAGAAGCAUUAAGAAUAUAACCGUGAACAAGACAGAUAAGGUCCCUAGUCUCAAGCCAUUCACAGUCUAGAAGGAGGGUAUGAACAUACAAAUAAUUGUGAUACAGUAUGACAAAUGUAAUAAGUGUUAAGCCAAGCUACAGGCAGAGUAAAACUCAACUAGCUGGCCAAGGUAGUUGUCAUAAUAGAAGAGACCUGAGUUUUGAAGGAAAAUAAGGGAAAGAGGAAUGGCACUGGAGGCAGAAGGUGUAACGUAUAAAAGCAUGAGAGAUUCGUGACCCAGAAGGUACAAAGUACAGGAUGAAUAUCCCUUAUCUAAAAUGCUAGCAGUGGGUGCAGUAGCUUAUGCCUGUAAUCCCAACAUUUUGGGAGGCAGAGGUGGGAGGAUCACUUGAGCCCAGGAUUUCAAGACCAGCCUGGGCAAUGUGGUGAACCCCAUCUCUACAAAAAAAUUUUAUAAUAUUAGCUGAGAGUGGUGGUAUGUGCCUGUAGUCCCAGCUACUUUGGGAGGCUGAGGCAGGAGGAUCACUUGAGUCCUGCAGUGAGCUGUGAUUGUACCACUGCUCUCCAGCCUGGGCAACAGAGAAAGGUUCUGUUCCAAAAAAAUAAUUAAAAUAAAAUAAAAUGCUUGGGACCAGAAGUGUUUUGGGUUUUGGAUAUUCUUUAUUUUGGAAUAUAUGCAUACACAUAAUGAGAUAUCUUGGGGAUGGGACUGAAGUCUAAACAAAAAAUUCAUUUAUGUUUCGUAUACACCUUACACACAUAGCCUGAAGGUAAUUUCAUACAAUAUUUUGAAUAAUUUUGUGCUUGAAACAAAGUUUGUGUUAAGUACUUACAUGUGAAAUUUUCUACUUGUGGCAUCAUGUCAGUGCUCAGAAAGUUUCUAAUUUUGGAACAUUUUGUGUUUUAGAUUUUUGGAUUAAGCAUGUCCAACCUGCAAUUUGAUGUGGCCUAACAUAAAGUAUAGGGGUGCAGGGACUAGUGGAAAGCUAUGAUUUGCACAGGGCGAAUCUUAAGGCAUGCUUACAAACCUUCAUAGUAGCAAAAUCACAACGAUUUCCUGUUUAUGUUCUUAGUUUGGAUAUAAAUGGCCGUUUCUUGGAAAAAAAUUUUUUUCCUUCUAAUGUGCCCCAAAGGCUAUGAGAAGAGGUUAUCGCUUUGACUUGUGGUGGGACUUCUGAUGGCUUAAAAGUACAUCUGUGAUCAAAUAGGGAAUAUAUAGCCUUCAUAUUUCUCAAACAGACAAAAAUAUCAGAAAUAUUUUUUAAAUAGAACUAAAAUUACCAGAGAUUUAAGUAGACUUAAAUACAAAUACAAUGAUGGACAAGUUACUUAAAAAGACAAUGAAAUGAGAAAUUUUUCAAUAAGGAUUAAUUAGACAAAUUUUAGCACAUUCAUACAAUGUGAAACAAAUAGACAUAACUUUUGCAGAACAAUAUUUACUUACAUGAGAAAAUAUUUACAAUGUAUUAGGUGAAAAGUCAUAGCAAAAUACUCUGGGACUAUCCAAGAUUUGUGGAAAUAAUGUGCACAAGGAAGGAAUGAGGGGAAAAAAAAGGUCUGGAAAACUAAAUAUACUAAAACGUAAUUAGUUGUGUUCACUGAGUGGUAGGAUUACAGGUGAAUUCCAUUUUUUAUUUUACCUGUUUUUCCCCAAUUAUCUAUUAUAAAUCUAAAUUAUUUAUUCAUUAAAAAGUUACCCUUUUAAGGCUGGGCUCGGUGGCUCACACCUGUAAUCCCAGCACUUUGGGAGGCCGAGGUAGGUGGAUCACCUUAGGUUGGGAGUUCAAGACCAGCCUGACCAACAUGGAGAAACCCCAUCUCUACUAAAAAUGCAAAAUUAGCUGGGUGUGGUGGCCCGUGCCUGUAAUCCCAGCUACUCCGGAGGCUGAGGCAGGAGAAUCACUUGGAUCCGGGAGGCGGAGGUUGUGGUGAGCCGAGAUCACGCCAUUGCACUCCAGCCUGAGCAACAAGAGUGAAACUCUGUCUCAAAAAAAUAAAAUUACCCUUUUAAAAGCAAAAAGGAGAGAACAAAAUGUGAUGAGACACAGUUAAAAAUUUUUCCUUCAAUAAAACUGAAAAAAAUUAUUUUUCAUCAAAGUAGAAAGUAUGAACAAAAGGUUAAGUAAUGUCCACGACUGAAGACAAAUUUGUUUCCAAUCAAUAAUAGUUCUUAAAUACAUUUUAAGUGCUGCAAAAAUAGUUAGAUGAAAAUCAGAGAAAGACCAGUACCUUUACAAGCAGCAUUGCUAGAUACGUAUUUAAAAUUUUUAAACUACUUCUAUUUUGCCGCAAAUUGGGAAGAAAAUUAUUUGGAAUUUCUGCAGCUACAAAAAAAAGGUGCGCGUGUGUGUGUGUGUGUUUGUGUGUGCGUGCACGCGCGCAUGAUGUCGGUGGGGAACGCAGACAGAUAAAACGAAAGGCCACGGUCAGAGGACUAAUCUUUCUCCCCGUUCUCAACAGAACAGUCCCGUUAUCUUCCGAAGUUUAAAAUAAAUGGCUUCUCCCUACUUCAUCAGUGUAUAUAUAUAUUUAAAAGCUCUAUAUCAUUUGGUAUAAAGAUCUAGAAAAAUAAAGGCAAUAAAGAUCUAGGAAAACGAAGAUGUCUUAUUUCUGAUACUUGAGGGAUAACUUCCUUCCACCAGCAUUUUACAAGAAAAAUAAAGCGAGUUAGUUAGACCUCCGUCCUUCCCUCCCACCACCACCAACAGAGGCCUAAUCAACGUGAAAAAAAAAUCGGCCCAUGGAAUUCUCCGCGCACAUCUUUCUCUCCUGCUGGAAUCCACCCUCUGGGGUAAAAUUAUCUCGGAAGGCUCAGAAAGUGAGGCUAAGUGAAGAGAGCAUUAAGAACCCUUCACGAUAUUGUCUAAGAGCCGUCCCCCAGUCGUGAGUGGAAGAGAGAGGGGUGACGGAUGGGGACUAGGGAAAAGCGGCUGGGGCAGAACCGCCCUGGAGCGCAAGCCUGGUCCCAGAAGAAAAACAAUCUUCCUUGCUCACACCUAUUAAGCACCUACUAUGUUCCCAGCACUAUACGAAGCGCUUUCCUAUAUGUCCGUUUUUAUUUAAUAAGCCUCCAGUUCACACUGCAACUCCCCCUUUAGUUAAUUGCUGAGUAUUCUGCUUUUUCUCGCGUAUCCUCAGAACCAAAGGUGUCGAUAUUUGGACUACAGAGCCAAGCAGUUGCAGGACGACGUGCAACCUCAAAGGAAAGUGUCCCGAAGGCCGCUUCCUUUUUGGGGGUUGUGGAUCUCAGAGCCAGGCGCUCGCGGGGUUCAGGCUGCUGAGACCCUGCCAAGGGUUAGGUUUAUUUACCCCACGAACAUUCGCCCAGCGUCCACUGAGCGGGCCCUGCCUCACUGCCUCCCAGCGCUUGCCGGGCCCGCUCGCUGAUCGGCGUCCACCUUCCCACCGUUCCUCUGCUUCCUCAGGAGAUUGGAGAGCGAAUGGUGCCUCUAACAAUAAAAGUGGUAAGCUGCGACUUUGUCAGCCAGGCACGUUUUUAAGUGCUUUUAACCAUACAUUAACUCAUUAAAAAGGAAAACCAUCAUCGCCCUCAUUUUAUAGAUGAGGAAACAGGUUAAGCCAUUUGUCCAAGAUCAGGAUGCGAACCCAGAUAAUCUGGACUCUGAGGCACCCUGGAAAAGUUCCCUACUUCCAAAGUCUGCAGGAGCUUCGGGACGUCUUCCCGGGAGUCUCCCCCAGUCUCCUCGACCUCCAAUCCAGGCUUCUGC